rnacentral:rRNA from 1 species
UACGUAGGGGGCUAGCGUUGUCCGGAAUCAUUGGGCGUAAAGCGCGCGUAGGCGGCCCUGUUAGUCCGCUGUAAAAGUCAAAGGCUCAACCUUUGAAUGCCGGUGGAUACUGCAGGGCUAGAGUCCGGAAGAGGCGAGUGGAAUUCCUGGUGUAGCGGUGGAAUGCGCAGAUAUCAGGAAGAACACCGACGGCGAAGGCAGCUCGCUGGGACGGUACUGACGCUGAGACGCGAAAGCGUGGGGAGCGAACAGG